GACGAACGCUGGCGGCGGGCUUAACACAUGCAAGUCGAACGGAAAGCCCCUGCUUUUGUGGCGUGCUCGAGUGGCGAACGGGUGAGUAACACGUGAGUAACCUGCCCUUGACUCUGGGAUAACUUCAGGAAAAUGGGGCUAAUCCCGAAUAGGAGCUCUUGCUGCAUGGUGGGGGUUGGAGAGUUUGGGCGGUUGGGGAUGGAAUCGCGGCUUGUCAGCUUGUGGGGGUGGUAGGGGCAUGCCAAGGCUUUGACGGGUACCCGGCCUGAGCGGGUGCACGGACAAACUGCGACGGAGAUGCGGCCCAGACUCGUAUGGUAGGCAGCAGAGGGGAAGAGUGCACAAGGGGCGGAAGGCUGAUGCAGCAAAGCCGCGUGGGGUAUGAGGGGCUUGGGGUUGUAAAGUGCAGCCGCCUGUCACGAAGAGUGAGUGACGGUAAUGGGUAAAGAAGCCCCGGCUAACUACGUG
rnacentral:rRNA from 1 species